UACGGAGGGUGCAAGCGUUAUCCGGAUUCACUGGGUUUAAAGGGUGCGUAGGCGGGUUGGUAAGUCCGUGGUGAAAAUCCCCAAGCUUAACUUGGGAACUGCCGUGGAUACUAUCAAUCUUGAAUAUCGUGGAGGUAAGCGGAAUAUGUCAUGUAGCGGUGAAAUGCUUAGAUAUGACAUAGAACACCAAUUGCGUAGGCAGCUUACUACACGAUCAUUGACGCUGAGGCACGAAAGCGUGGGGAGCAAACAGG
rnacentral:rRNA from 1 species